UUGAUCUGGUCAGAACGAACGCUGGCGGCGCGUUUAAGCAUGCAAGUCGAGCGGCAAGGGCCUUCGGGCCCCUAGAGCGGCGGACGGGUGAGUAACACGUGGACAAUCUGCCCCCCGGACCGGGAUAGCCCAGGGAAACCUGGAUUAAUACCGGAUGAGACGGGACCUGCGAUGGCGGGAUCCGGGAAAGGCGCUACGGCGCCGCCGGGGGAUGAGUCUGCGUCCCAUUAGCUAGACGGCGGGGUAACGGCCCACCGUGGCGACGAUGGGUAGCCGGCCUGAGAGGGUGGACGGCCACAUUGGAACUGAGACACGGUCCAGACUCCUACGGGAGGCAGCAGCUAAGAAUCUUCCGCAAUGGGCGAAAGCCUGACGGAGCGACGCCGGCCGUGAACGAAGAAGGCCGUGAGGUUGUAAAGUUCUUUUCGGGAGGGGGAACAACCGUGGCAGGGAAUGGCCGCGGGAUGACGUGAAUCCCGGAAUAAGCCCCGGCUAACUACGUGCCAGCAGCAGC
rnacentral:rRNA from 1 species